UGAUCAUAGCCAGUUGUGGUUGUGACCUGAAGGAAGGUGCAACGACGCCUCCCACACCCACACCAACGCCCGGUGAAACUGACGAGCCCACGGGAAUGCCCACGAGCGCUGCUGGCAGAGUCUGGACGCUGUUGGGCUUCGUUGCAAGUUUUGUUGGGUUCUUGUGGA
rnacentral:rRNA from 13 species